GCCGGGAUGGCGGAACUGGUAGACGCGUUGGACUUAAAAUCCAAUUCUCAGUAAUGGGAGUGCGGGUUCGAUUCCCGCUCCCGGUA
rnacentral:tRNA from 1 species